rnacentral:lncRNA from 1 species
GAUCCAAUAUCCCAUAAUUAAAUCAAAUAAAAUUUUUGACUGAUUUUUUGAUGUGUGUAACCCUUUGUGUUUACAUCUAGCCAAUAGUAGGUCUAGAUUUAUGUUGACCCAAAUUGAUUAGAGUCCAUCUAAUCGAAUUAGAUCAAACCGAUGCAUAUCUAAGUUGUCAAAUUAGAACCCUUCCUAAUUGACUCAUGAAUU